AGAAGAAAGAGCAGGUUCCUGGCAAAAUGCAGGGCUCUCUUGAGGACCAGAUUAUUGCUGCCAACCCUCUGCUUGAGGCUUAUGGUAAUGCCAAGACUGUGAGAAAUGACAACUCCUCUCGUUUUGGUAAAUUCAUCAGAAUUCACUUCGGUACAUCAGGAAAAUUGGCUAGUGCUGACAUUGAGACAUAUCUGCUGGAGAAGUCUAGAGUGACAUUCCAGCUUCCAGAUGAGAGAGGCUACCACAUCAUAAUAAA